UACUAACAACAAUGGCAACGAUUUGUCGAGGACAGUCAUGUAUCUCCUAACGACGGGGAUACUACCUAGGAAACGUGCUGCUUGGCAAAGAGCACUUAUACAAACCCACACGCUACAGCGACUGCACACCCAGGCUAUGUGAUACAGCCUGUCGCUCCCAGGCUGCAAACCUGCACAGCAUGUGAUGUGGUGGAAUACUGAACUGAAUGCUGAAUACUGUAGGCAAUUGUAACAUAAUGAGAUCGAGUCAUGCUAUGUUGUCUAGGCUGGUCUUGAACUCCUGGGCUCAAGCAAUCCUCCUGCCUCAGCCUCCUGCAUAGCAGGGAUUAGAGGGUGUCAUCCCUGAGCCAGUUUCCUUAGGCCCUGCCCUGGUGAAGAUGGCUGUUUGCUGGGUCACGCGAAGACAAAAGCCAGGACACAGGCCCCAGCCCUGCUAAACACUGCAGUGACUCUGCUCCAGGCUACCUCCUGUGGGAAUCUGCUUCACUUCACAGACGACCCCAGCAUCUUCAUUGAGGUCCAUGAAUGGACAUAGUUUCCAGGAUUUUUUGUGACCCAGGAAACCCGAACUCUCAUCAAAAAUGAAUAAGUAAAAGGAGGGAUGGGUAAGAAAAUUCUAAAAUCUUCUUUCUGAGUCAUUAACGUUCACUUGAAAUUUGUCGUCACUAUUUCCUACUUCCCUAGCAAAUUCCAACCUGAGUAGCGUAGGUGAUGGCACUAAGCCCUAGGAUGGAAAAAGCGCAAUUAAGCUCUGUAUUGGUCUGUUCUCUCACUGCUAAUAAAGACAUACACCUGAUACUGAAUAAUUUAUAAAGAGACUUAAUUGACUCACAGUUCAGCAGGGCUGGGGAGG
rnacentral:lncRNA from 1 species